CCUACGGGGAGCAGCAGUGGGGGAUAUUGCACAAUGGGGGGAACCCUGAUGCAGCGACGCCGCGUGGGUGAAGAAGCGCCUCGGCGCGUAAAGCCCUGUCAGCAGGGAAGCAAAUGACGGUACCUGAAGAAGAAGCCCCGGCUAACUACGUGCCAGCAGCCGCGGUAAUACGUAGGGGGCAAGCGUUAUCCGGAUUUACUGGGUGUAAAGGGGGCGCAGACGGCGAUGCAAGACAGAGGUGAAAGCCCGGGGCUUAACCCCGGGAUGGCUCUUGGAAAUGCGUGGCUGGAGUGCAGGAGGGGCAGGCGGAAUGCCUGGUGUAGCGGUGAAAUGCGUAGAUAUCAGGAGGAACACCGGUGGCGAAGGCGGCCUGCUGGACUGCAACUGACGUUGAGGCCCGAAAGCGUGGGGAGCAAACAGGAUUAGAUACCCCGGUAGUC
rnacentral:rRNA from 1 species